rnacentral:rRNA from 1 species
CCUACGGGAGGCAGCAGUGAGGAAUCUUGGUCAAUGGCCGUAAGGCUGAACCAGCCAAGUAGCGUGAGGGAAGACUGCCCUAUGGGUUGUAAACCUCUUUUAUGCGGGGAUAAAGGUGUCCACGUGUGGAUGUUUGCAGGUACCGCAUGAAUAAGGACCGGCUAAUUCCGUGCCAGCAGCCGCGGUAAUACGGAGGGUCCGGGCGUUAUCCGGAUUUAUUGGGUUUAAAGGGAGCGUAGAGGGGUUGUUAAGUCAGUUGUGAAAGUUUGCGGCUCAACCCCGGCCUGCCGUCGGAACUGGGGGCCUUGAGUGGGCGAGAGGUAUGUGGAAUGCGUGGUGUAGCGGUGAAAUGCAUAGAUAUCACGCAGAACCCCGAUUGCGAAGGCAGCAUACCGGCGCCCUACUGACGCUGAGGCACGAAAGUGCGGGUAUCGAACAGGAUUAGAUACCCUGGUAGUC